rnacentral:rRNA from 1 species
UCUCCGUGUGCCGCUCCCAAUCAACCCGCGUUUGCCCCAGCCUCCUAUCGCACGGAAACGGAGUCCUGCUGGGGUCUCCUUAACUGGGGGUUCCAGCGCUUCCGCGCACAACGUGCGCUUACGGACCGUCCGUGGACGUUACUGUAAACAAAACAGCGUGUUCAAAGCAAGUGGCUUGCCUGCCCUGCAUGUUAAAGCAUGGAAUAACAAGGCAUCGACCACUCGGCGGUGCUUUUGUUGGUCUUUCCCUCCCGGUGGGAAUGCGCAGGCGUGCACACUGCCGGCCUUCUGGCCGGUCUGGGUGCCGUCUCUUCGAGAUCAAUAGGGGCAAACGGGGAGAUACCUAUUGUGGGGAGAGCGGUGAAAUGCGAUGACCCCCAUAAGAGGAACUUCAGCGAAAGCAGUUCUCAAGACUGCCUUCGUUAAUCAAGAACGAGACUGUGGGGAUCAAAGAUGAUCAGAUACCGUCGUAGUCCACUAGCGUAAACGAUGCCGACUCAUCAUUGGGGGGCAUCUCUAACAAGCGCCCCCCAGUGGUUCUCCCCCCUGUAAGAGAAAUCUAAGUUUAUGGGCUCAGGGGGGAGUAUG